GUGCCAGCCGCCGCGGUAAUACCGGCAGCUCGAGUGAUGUCCAAUAUUAUUGGGCCUAAAGCGUCCGUAGCUGGCCGACCAAGUCUCCCGGGAAAUCCACCCGCCCAACGGGUGGGCGUCCGGUAGAAACUGGCCGGCUUGGAACCGGAAGGCUCAGAGAGUACGUCCGGGGUAGGAGUGAAAUCCCGUAAUCCUGGACGGACCGCCGAUGGCGAAAGCACGUCGCGAGAACGGAUCCGACAGUGAGGGAUGAAAGCCAGGGUCUCGAACCGGAUUAGAUACCCUGGUAGUCC
rnacentral:rRNA from 1 species